rnacentral:rRNA from 1 species
AACGAACGCUGGCGGCAGGCUUAACACAUGCAAGUCGAACGCAUCCUUCGGGGUGAGUGGCAGACAGGUGAGUAACGCGUGGGAACGUGCCCUUCAGUUCGGGAUAACCCAGGGAAACUUGGGCUAAUACCGGAUACGUGCGAGAGCAGAAAGAUUUAUCGCUGAAGGAUCGGCCCGCGUCUGAUUAGCUAGUCGGUGGGGUAAUGGCCCACCAAGGCGACGAUCAGUAGCUGGUCUGAGAGGAUGAUCAGCCACAUUGGGACUGAGACACGGCCCAAACUCCUACGGGAGGCAGCAGUGGGGAAUAUUGGACAAUGGGCGCAAGCCUGAUCCAGCCAUGCCGCGUGAGUGAUGAAGGCCUUAGGGUUGUAAAGCUCUUUCGUCCGGGACGAUAAUGACGGUACCGGAAGAAGAAGCCCCGGCUAACUUCGUGCCAGCCGCCGCGGUAA